rnacentral:rRNA from 1 species
CGGACCCUUAAGCGGCGGACUGGUGAGUAACGCGUGGGUGACCUACCUUUAUGCUGGGGAUAGCUGUAAGAAAUAGCAGGUAAUACCGGAUGUGAUCGCACAACUGUGCGUUAUGUGAGGAAAGAUGCUACGGCAAUCGCCUGAAGAUGGGCCCGCGUCCCAUUAGCUAGUUGGUAGAGUAAAGGUUUACCAAAGGCGAAGAUGGGUAGCCGGCCUGAGAGGGUGAACGGCACACUGGGACUGAGAUACGGCCCAGACUCCUACGGGAGGCAGCAGCUAAGAAUAUUCCACAAUGGACGGAAGUCUGAUGGAGCGACGCCGCGUGGAUGAGGAAGGCCGAAAGGUUGUAAAAAUCCUUUUAUUGCUGAAGAAUAAGUGCGGCAGGGAAUGGCAGACACGAUGACGUUAGGCAAUGAAUAAGCCCCGGCUAAUUUA